rnacentral:rRNA from 1 species
AGUGAACGCUGGCGGUAGGCCUAACACAUGCAAGUCGAACGGCAGCACAGUAAGAGCUUGCCCUUACGGGUGGCGAGUGGCGGACGGGUGAGGAAUACAUCGGAAUCUACUUUUUCGUGGGGGAUAACGUAGGGAAACUUACGCUAAUACCGCAUACGACCUACGGGUGAAAGCAGGGGAUUUUCGGACCUUGCGCGAUUGAAUGAGCCGAUGUCGGAUUAGCUAGUUGGCGGGGUAAAGGCCCACCAAGGCGACGAUCCGUAGCUGGUCUGAGAGGAUGAUCAGCCACACUGGAACUGAGACACGGUCCAGACUCCUACGGGAGGCAGCAGUGGGGAAUAUUGGACAAUGGGCGCAAGCCUGAUCCAGCCAUACCGCGUGGGUGAAGAAGGCCUUCGGGUUGUAAAGCCCUUUUGUUGGGAAAGAAAAGCAGCAGGUUAAUACCCCGCUGUUCUGACGGUACCCAAAGAAUAAGCACCGGCUAACUUCGUG